UGUCAUGUCAGUGAGAGAAACUG
rnacentral:siRNA from 1 species